GUUGUAGCGGUGAUGACAAAUUUGUGGACUAGAGUUUCUGAUGCUGCCUCUUCAGCGGCAUCUGCAGACAACCCCUUGGCUGUCUGAGCUACCAG
rfam:Triticum aestivum genome assembly, contig: Triticum_aestivum_CS42_TGACv1_scaffold_542951_6DS